rnacentral:rRNA from 1 species
UACGUGGGGAGCAAGCGUUGUCCGGAUUCACUGGGUGUAAAGGGUGCGCAGGCGGAUUUGUAAGUCAGAUGUGAAAUCCCCGGGCUUAACCUGGGAACUGCGUUUGAAACUACAAGGCUAGAGUGUGGCAGAGGGGUGUGGAAUUCCACGUGUAGCAGUGAAAUGCGUAGAGAUGUGGAGGAACACCGAUGGCGAAGGCAGCAUCCUGGGCUAACACUGACGCUCAGGCACGAAAGCGUGGGGAGCAAACAGG